rnacentral:misc_RNA from 1 species
AGGUCUUUUUUUCUCUUUUUGAAUUCGAACAAUAUGGCUGAAGUGUCCAAGUGAUCAACAAGCUGGUUUUUUUUACCGCAAUGAUGAUCAGUGCUCCUU